UACGUAGGGGGCUAGCGUUGUCCGGAAUUAUUGGGCGUAAAGGGCGCGUAGGCGGCUUCGCAAGUGGAAGGUGAAAUCCCUCGGCUUAACCGAGGAACUGCCCUCCAACUGCGUUGCUUGAGGCCGGGAGAGGUGAGUGGAAUUCCGAGUGUAGAGGUGAAAUUCGUAGAUAUUCGGAAGAACACCAGUGGCGAAGGCGGCUCACUGGACUGGUAUUGACGCUGAGGUGCGAAAGCGUGGGGAGCAAACAGGG
rnacentral:rRNA from 1 species